rnacentral:rRNA from 1 species
UACGUAGGGUGCGAGCGUUAAUCGGAAUUACUGGGCGUAAAGCGUGCGCAGGCGGUUCGUUGUGUCCGUCGUGAAAGCCCCGGGCUUAACCUGGGAACUGCGAUGGAAACUAGCGAGCUGGAGUGUGGCAGGAGGGGGGUGGAAUUCCGCGUGUAGCAGUGAAAUGCGUAGAGAUGCGGAGGAACACCGAUGGCGAAGGCAGCCCCCUGGGCUAACACUGACGCUCAGGCACGAAAGCGUGGGGAGCAAACAGG